GACGUUGGUGUCAUGUUCUGUUACUGACUCGGCUGGCGCCCUCCGUUCCGUCACAGAACACAGAACCAACCGCAU
rnacentral:pre_miRNA from 1 species